GCUCUGCGUUGGUGGUUUCUGGGUUUGGGUUUGAGUACUUCUCGAUGCAAUGUUUGCCAUACAUCUUCUUUUGAGUCCAUUCAACUAAAGUAGUAGUCAAGGCACGUAGGAUACAAUACAUUAUUACAACACAAUAGCUAACGGAGUCAAAAGACUUUGCUGCUGUCUAGUGUCUACCGCGGACGGAGGUUAUACACUCUUCUAGUCAUCGUCGAAGAAGAAGUAAUAUCCGGAUCUGGUGGUUUAGUACGUCAUAGUCCCUGCAAAUUCAUCAGACAAGAGUAUAAUAAGAAUGAAGAAGCUGAGCUGACGCAAGAACAGCGAAUAAAGACCUCAAAAUGUUUAUAAUCCAUGCUUGACGUUCUGCAUCAUUCACGUAGCGUAAGCUUGCCACUUCUAAUGCUAAGAUGACAAAGAUUGACAAGAAGUAGAUAAUGAAGGCUUUAAUCACUCGGGACUCGAGAAGCGUCGCAUUGUGCAAAGCAAACAACUUAUCCAAAGCCACAAACAUGUU